rnacentral:rRNA from 2 species
GAGGCAGCAGUGAGGAAUAUUGGUCAAUGAGCGCAAGCCUGAACCAUGCCAUCCCGCGUGAAGGAUGAAGGCCCUAUGGGUCGUAAACUUCUUUUAUACGCCAAGAAAAUUUCGGACGUGUCCGGAACUGACGGUAGUGUAUGAAUAAGCAUCGGCUAACUCCGUGCCAGCAGCCGCGGUAAUACGGAGGAUGCAAGCGUUAUCCGGAUUCAUUGGGUUUAAAGGGUGCGUAGGCGGCUUUUUAAGUCAGUGGUGAAAUCUUGCCGCUUAACGGUAAAAUUGCCAUUGAUACUGAAAAGCUUGAGUACAUUUGAGGUAAGCGGAAUGUGUAGUGUAGCGGUGAAAUGCUUAGAUAUUACACAGAACACCAAUUGCGAAGGCAGCUUACUAAACUGUUACUGACGCUGAUGCCCGCACAAGCGUGGGGAGCGAACAUGUGAUUUAAUCUGGUAGUACGCGAGGAACUUCCCUCGCGGCUUUAAAUGUAGCGGAAAGCGACAGCUUGUGAAGCAGGCUUUCUUCGGACGAUCUACAAGGUGCUGCAUGGUUGUCGUCAGCUCGUGCCGUGAGGCGUCGGGUUAAGUCCCAUAACGAGCGCAACCCUUAUCGUUAGUUGCCAGCGGGUCAAGCCGGGGACUCUAGCGAGACUGCCACCGUAAGGUGUGAGGAAGGUGGGGAUGACGUCAAAUCAGCACGGCCCUUAUGUCCGGGGCUACACACGUGUUACAAUGGCCGAUACAAAGGGCAGCUACCAGGUGACUGGAUGCUAAUCUCUAAAGUCGGUCUCAGUUCGGAUCGAAGUCUGCAACCCGACUUCGUGAAGCUGGAUUCGCUAGUAAUCGCAUAUCAGCCAUGAUGCGGUGAAUACGUUCCCGGGCCUUGUAUACACCGCCAUACCAUAUGA